rnacentral:piRNA from 1 species
UUGCGAUCGGGGUUUCAGAGCCUAGGGA